GUGGGGAAUAUUGGACAAUGGGGGGAACCCUGAUCCAGCCAUGCCGCGUGUGUGAAGAAGGCCUUUUGGUUGUAAAGCACUUUAAGCGAGGAGGAGGCUACCGAGAUUAAUACUCUUGGAUAGUGGACGUUACUCGCAGAAUAAGCACCGGCUAACUCUGUGCCAGCAGCCGCGGUAAUACAGAGGGUGCAAGCGUUAAUCGGAUUUACUGGGCGUAAAGCGCGCGUAGGUGGCCAAUUAAGUCAAAUGUGAAAUCCCCGAGCUUAACUUGGGAAUGGCAUUCGAUACUGGGUGGCUAGAGUAUGGGAGAGGAUGGUAGAAUUCCAGGUGUAGCGGUGAAAUGCGUAGAGAUCUGGAGGAAUACCGAUGGCGAAUGCAGCCAUCUGGCCUAAUACUGACACUGAGGUGCGAAAGCAUGGGGAGCAAACAGGAUUAGAUACCCGAGUAGUCC
rnacentral:rRNA from 1 species